GACGAACGCUGGCGGCGUGCUUAACACAUGCAAGUCGAACGGAAAGGCCCUGCUUUUGUGGGGUGCUCGAGUGGCGAACGGGUGAGUAACACGUGAGUAACCUGCCCUUGACUUUGGGAUAACUUCAGGAAACUGGGGCUAAUACCGGAUAGGAGCUCCUGCUGCAUGGUGGGGGUUGGAAAGUUUCGGCGGUUGGGGAUGGACUCGCGGCUUAUCAGCUUGUUGGUGGGGUAGUGGCUUACCAAGGCUUUGACGGGUAGCCGGCCUGAGAGGGUGACCGGCCACAUUGGGACUGAGAUACGGCCCAGACUCCUACGGGAGGCAGCAGUGGGGAAUAUUGCACAAUGGGCGGAAGCCUGAUGCAGCAACGCCGCGUGCGGGAUGACGGCCUUCGGGUUGUAAACCGCUUUCGCCUGUGACGAAGCGUGAGCGACGGUAAUGGGUAAAGAAGCACCGGCUAACUACGUA
rnacentral:rRNA from 1 species